rnacentral:rRNA from 1 species
GUGCCAGCAGCCGCGGUAAUACAGAGGUCCCAAGCGUUGUUCGGAUUCACUGGGCGUAAAGGGUGCGUAGGUGGCUGGGUAAGUUUGAUGUGAAAGCUCGGAGCUUAACUCCGAAAUGGCAUUGAAUACUAUCCAGCUUGAGGAUCGGAGGGGAGACUGGAAUUCUCGGUGUAGCAGUGAAAUGCGUAGAUAUCGAGAGGAACACCGGUGGCGAAGGCGAGUCUCUGGACGAUACCUGACACUGAGGCACGAAAGCUAGGGGAGCAAACAGGAUUAGAUACCCUGGUAGUCC